AAUGGGGCCUUCUAAUCUUGCAAUUUUUAUUCUAUUUCAUGUUAUUUCUAUUAUUGUAAGGACAAAUUUUCAUUUCAACAACGCUUAACAUGUUUAGAAUGAACAUUGAACAAAUUAAGAAUUUGAUACGUCCACCUAGCAACCGUCAUUAUGACAUCGUUUGGUGUCGCCACUGUAUGCGCAGCUAUCCACGCAAUUACUGCUCACGGCCGGAAGUUUAUACUGUUUUACGACAACAAUUACGAAUAACGGCAUUGGCACAACCGGCUAAAAGAUGUCAGAUUCAAUUGCCAAAUCGAAAGCUCUGAAUCUUUUAAAGCAGGCCGCACAGGCACUUACCGAAGUAUCAGAAUCCCAACAAACAGAUAAUAUUAAGAAUAAUAAACCCGAAAUACAUGUACCAACCUCACAUGCUCCACCCAUGGCAUCAGAAAUCAAGAAGCUUUUUUCCCCGUACAGUAGUUACAGCAGGCCUGGCACUAGGCCUAGUACUAAGAAACAUUUCCCUGCCACUGUCACUUCAGUCAGUGGGCCUGUGAGUUUUUGGACGCACAGGUUCUCUGUAAUAAUUGACAAAGACCAGAAUUUUGUACCUACUAGAGAACAAAAGAAAGAAUCAUUUGAAAAUGGACUGGGUGAGAAAAAAGUAACAUUUGAAAAAAAUGACAACCCUCUGUACUUUAAAGAAAAAUUGGAAAGUGUAUUUCCGGCACUCAAGCCCUGCGGUGGAUAUGAACUUCUGCGAACAGAAUUUGGCAGCAGAUGGUCUUUGGAACUAAUGAUUCAGCCAUCUACGGGCUUCCACACAAACUAUUUAGCAAAUGAGAGCUGUUUGGGCCAAGCAAUGUGCUAUGCAAGGCCAAUCCAAAGGAAUUUGGCCUUUGCCAGUGUAUCUGUAGAAGGUGAUGAUUUUAGCUGCCUCUCUUCUUGUUGUAUUUCGUUAUGAUUGACGUCUGUAUCUCUGCUGCUUUGGGAAUAUGGGCUGCAGUUGCAAUGGAUGCUUAAGGACAGACUUGGGAACAUUCACUUGAUUGCAAUGUUUUGUGUGUACUGAUGUGUCUUAUGUAUUGGUUUGUCUUUUUGGACUUUAUUCAGCUAUGUGUGGUGUUGUUCUUCUGUACUUUAAAUUACCCAUUGUAAUUCUAGGACUUGUCUCAGGGACCAACUGAAGUAUGUAUAAUAUGCAAUGAUGAAAUACCCUUAAAGAAUUUGAGGAGGCAUGUAGAGGAUUGUGAUAAAAAUUGUAACAAUGAUGAUAAUGACCUAGAUAUUUUACCAGAGAUCAAUUUUAAGCCAAUGAAGAAGUCGCAACAACCAAUAUGCAAGUAUACUUGUGUACCGAAUCAACUAUGUUCAGUGUCCGCUGUGUCAAGACAGUUUUAAUAAAGAUGUCAUAGAAAUUCAUUCUUCAACCUGCAAUGGUCUGAGUGAAAGUGCUGGGGAGAAUGACAAACAAUCAGAAGUUGUGACUGCCUUAAGUAUAAGAAGCGAAGAUGAAAAUGUACAUCGUGAACGGUGCCUAAAAGAAACACUAUUGGAAAUGUGUGAUAUAAAAAGUCCGGAUCUCAUUAUAAGUACAUAUAGCAAGAAAUUUAUUAGAGGGAAGAAAAUGGAUGUACUUGAAGAAGAUUAUGACAGCAAGGAGAAUACAGCUUUUGAAAUAUUCAUAUCACGUGAUGAUAUUUUUAAUGACAUGUUAUCAGAGUUUUCCAGAAAUGUAGAUAUAUCCUAUUUGCUAGACGUCACUUUCAUUGGUGAAGAGGCAUCUGACAUGGGAGGACCCAGACGAGAAUUUCUUACAUUAGCUCUGCAAGCCAUUAAAGAAAGAUUGAUAAAAGAUGGCUAUUUAGUAUCUGAGAAGGAUAUUGGACAUGAAGCAUACUUGACAUUGCUUCACAAAAAGGCUUUUGAAAUUGCUGGAAUUGUUGUUGGAUUGUCUUUAUUAGAAGGUGGACCAGUGCCUUAUUUGUUAAAUGAUCCAAGGGGAGUUCUUCUGACCCCAGACACACAAGAAAUGAAACAAUUUAGUAUUGGAUUGAAAAGAAUUGGCAUUUUGCAGGUAUUAAAGUUUAAUGUGUUA